UUUUUUUUUUUUUGUAUUUGGAUUAUUUAUUUGGGAACUCUUUCUACAUCAUAACUUAUUUGGACAAAAGGUAUUAUUAGCCUCAGCUUUCUAUAUUUAGAUAUAUAUAUGUAUAUAUAUAUAUUUAAUUGUUAUUUCUACAAUUUUUUUUUACUGUACAGCAUAGUGCCCCAGUUACACAUACAUGUACACAUUCUAUUUUCUCACAUUAUCAUGCUCCAUCAUAAGUGACUACACAUAGUUCCCAGUGCUACACAGCAGGAUCUCAUUGCUAAUUCAUUCCAGAGGCAAUAGUUUGUAUCCAUUAACCCCAAGCUCCCACUCCCUCCUCCUCCCCCUUGACAAUCACAAGUCUAUUCUCCAAGUCCAUGAUUUUCUUUUCUGUGGAAAAGUUCAUUUGUGCCAUAUAUUAGAUUCCAGAUAUAAGUGAUAUCAGAUGGUAUUUGUCUUUAUCUUUCUGACUUACUUCACUCAGUAUGAGAGUCUCUAGUCCCAUCCAUGUUGCUGCAAAUGUUCCAUCCAUGUUACUGCAUGUUCUUUUUGAUGGUUGAGUAGUACUCCGUUGUGUACAUAUACCUCAUCUUCUUAAUCCAAUCAUCUGUCGAUGGACAUUUGGGUUGUUUCCAUGUAAGCUGACAUUUUUCUACUAGUAUAAUAUUUUCAAAAACCUUUUGGGUCUCCCAUGUAUAUCAUGGGAUUCAGUCUAUUAGAUAAGGGCCAACUCCACAGACCCUAUCUCUAUUUUUUUAUUUCUCUUGGGAUUGCUGAAGGAAUCUAUUUGUCACAAACUUAAUGUUUUGAGGAGGCUUUGUGUGACCUUUUAAUUUUUUCUGAUACACUAGCAAAAGGUUGUUUAGACACAGCAUGGUUUUUUUCUCUAAAUUACUCUUUCUUUCCAGCAAAUCUUUUUUCUUUUUUUUUCUUUUUUUUCUUUUUUUUUUUUUUGUCUUUUUGUCUUUUCUAGGGCCACUCCCGCAGCAUAUGGAGCAGCCCUAGUAUAGGCAAAAAGACAAAAAAAAAAAAGUAUGUGCUCAAUGAGGCCUGAGAAAUGAGAGUAUAAGAAUAAAUAAGAAUAAUCAGGAAGUCUCAGGAUGGGGAAAACAAGUUUGUGGAAUAUUUAAAGAAUAAGCCAAUAGUAAUAAUUUCCAUAUUAGAUUAGAAAUGAAAAUAUUAUUCAAUCCUUUAUAAAUCUUCAUUAUGGAUCCAUAUC
ensembl:lncRNA